rnacentral:lncRNA from 1 species
CAGGGAGGACAUACAACUGUAGGACAAGUACAGAGGGCUGAAGGGCAGCUAUGUCAACAAGGAAGCAAUGCAGGAACAGAAACCUGAAUCAAUGCUCAGUCAGACCCUUUAAUUAUGCAGCUCAUUUUUGUUUUUUGCACUCUUUGCAUUGCCUGCCUGCAGUGAUGGUACAUCUACUGCAAUUCCCUGUGUAUCCUGCUGAUCCUUGUUUUUCCCAAGACGAGGCAACCCAAGCCUUCUUGUUGUGAUAUACCUCUGACUGGUCCAGUGUUAUCCAUUGGUUUCCCCAAGUGCUUUGCCCCAGGAAUAUGUACAGCCCUGGGGAGGAUCAAGAUUUCUGUUAAAGACUAUCUGCUCAUAAAGUGAGUAUUUAUCUAAGCCCCAGAUUAGUCAGGUGUUCUGGGCACUUCCUGCCUAGGCCUCUUCUCUAAGUGGCUGUUGCACUUGUUCACAAAUGAAACAUACAUUAUUCCUAGCAGCCCUCAUGAUGAGCAGUACACACAAAUGACCUCUUGGAAGCUCUCUUGACUCGUGCAAAACAUAAGAAAAUUGAAAAUCUAUAUUUGCAAGGUCAGAAAUAAAAAUGAAAACAUCACUUUGGCUGUCUAAAAG